ACUCGUCUGCGAUGCCGCCGGGCUUUAUAUUUCCUUGAACCAAUGCUCUAUGGAGCCCGGGCUUGGUACAUCGCCUGGCAAGCGUGAUCAUCUCGCGUCAGAUGAACCCAAUGCCUUGCUGCCCUCGCCCACCUGAACCCUGCGUUCAGGAUGACGGUCCGGUGGCAUUCGCAGACACCUC
rnacentral:sRNA from 1 species